rnacentral:rRNA from 1 species
AACGAACGCUGGCGGCAGGCCUAACACAUGCAAGUCGAACGCCGUAGCAAUACGGAGUGGCAGACGGGUGAGUAACACGUGGGAACGUACCCUUCGGUUCGGGAUAACUCAGGGAAACUUGAGCUAAUACCGGAUACGUCCGAGAGGAGAAAGAUUUAUUGCCGAGGGAUCGGCCCGCGUCUGAUUAGCUUGUUGGUGAGGUAACGGCUCACCAAGGCGACGAUCAGUAGCUGGCUGAGAGGAUGAUCAGCCACAUUGGGACUGAGACACGGCCCAAACUCCUACGGGAGGCAGCAGUGGGGAAUAUUGGACAAUGGGCGCAAGCCUGAUCCAGCCAUGCCGCGUGAGUGAUGAAGGCCCUAGGGUUGUAAAG